UACGAAGGGGGCUAGCGUUGUUCGGAAUUACUGGGCGUAAAGCGCGUGUAGGCGGGUGGCUAAGUCAGGGGUGAAAUGCCGAGGCUCAACCUUGGAACUGCCUUUGAUACUGGCCAUCUGGAGUCCGGGAGAGGUGAGUGGAACUGCGAGUGUAGAGGUGAAAAUUCGUAGAUAUUCGCAAGAACACCAGUGGCGAAGGCGGCUCACUGGCCCGGAACUGACGCUGAGACGCGAAAGCGUGGGGAGCAAACAGG
rnacentral:rRNA from 1 species